rnacentral:rRNA from 1 species
UUUCCAGACUCCUACGGGAGGCAGCAGUGGGGAAUAUUGCACAAUGGGGGAAACCCUGAUGCAGCAACGCCGCGUGAGUGAAGAAGUAUUUCGGUAUGUAAAGCUCUAUCAGCAGGGAAGAAGAAGGACGGUACCUGACUAAGAAGCCCCGGCUAACUACGUGCCAGCAGCCGCGGUAAUACGUAGGGGGCGAGCGUUAUCCGGAUUUACUGGGUGUAAAGGGAGCGUAGACGGUUUUUCAAGUCUGAAGUGAAAGCCCGCGGCUCAACUGCGGAACGGCUUUGGAAACUGAGGGACUAGAGUGCUGGAGGGGCAGGCGGAAUUCCUGGUGUAGCGGUGAAAUGCGUAGAUAUCAGGAGGAACACCGGUGGCGAAGGCGGCCUGCUGGACAGUAACUGACGUUGAGGCUCGAAAGCGUGGGGAGCAAACAGGAUUAGAUACCCGCGUAC